AUAUCACGUUGAAACAUCGGUUCGCGUACGAUCACCGAAGUUAAGCAACGACGAGUUUGAUCAGUAUCCAGAUGGGUGACCGCUUGAGAAUACCAGGUGCUGUAAG